AGAGUUUGAUUAUGCUCAGGAUGAACGCUAGCGACAGGCCUAACACAUGCAAGUCGAGGGGCAUCGGGGCGAGGAGCAAUCCUUGCCGCCGGCGACCGGCGCACGGGUGAGUAACGCGUAUGCGACCUGCCCGUUGCAGGGGGAUAAUCGGGAGAAAUCCCGUCUAAUACCGCGUAAUGCCGCGGGGCUGCAUGGCCCUGCGGCCAAAGGGAGCGAUUCCGGCAACGGAUGGGCAUGCGUGACAUUAGCUAGUUGGCGGGGCAACGGCCCACCAAGGCGACGAUGUCUAGGGGUUCUGAGAGGAAGGUCCCCCACACUGGUACUGAGACACGGACCAGACUCCUACGGGAGGCAGCAGUGAGGAAUAUUGGUCAAUGGGCGCGAGCCUGAACCAGCCAAGUCGCGUGAGGGAUGACGGCCCUACGGGUUGUAAACCUCUUUUGUCGGGGAGCAAAUUCCGCCACGUGUGGCGGAGUCGAGAGUACCCGAAGAAAAAGCAUCGGCUAACUCCGUGCCAGCAGCCGCGGUAAUACGGAGGAUGCGAGCGUUAUCCGGAUUUAUUGGGUUUAAAGGGUGCGUAGGCGGACUGUCAAGUCAGCGGUAAAAUACGGGGGCUCAACCUCCGCCCGCCGUUGAAACUGACGGUCUUGAGUGGGCGAGAAGUAUGCGGAAUGCGUGGUGUAGCGGUGAAAUGCAUAGAUAUCACGCAGAACUCCGAUUGCGAAGGCAGCAUACCGGCGCCCGACUGACGCUGAAGCACGAAAGCGUGGGUAUCGAACAGGAUUAGAUACCCUGGUAGUCCACGCAGUAAACGAUGAAUACUAGCUGUCCGGGGCGAAUGAGCCCUGGGUGGCACAGCGAAAGCGUUAAGUAUUCCACCUGGGGAGUACGCCGGCAACGGUGAAACUCAAAGGAAUUGACGGGGGCCCGCACAAGCGGAGGAACAUGUGGUUUAAUUCGAUGAUACGCGAGGAACCUUACCCGGGCUCAAACGACACAGGAACGUACCUGAAAGGGUUCGGCUCUACGGAGCCUGUGUCGAGGUGCUGCAUGGUUGUCGUCAGCUCGUGCCGUGAGGUGUCGGCUUAAGUGCCAUAACGAGCGCAACCCCCAUCGACAGUUGCUAACAGGUCAGGCUGAGGACUCUGUCGAGACUGCCGGCGCAAGCUGCGAGGAAGGCGGGGAUGACGUCAAAUCAGCACGGCCCUUACGUCCGGGGCGACACACGUGUUACAAUGGCAGGUACAGCGGGAAGCCACCUGGCGACAGGGAGCGGAACCCGAAAGCCUGUCUCAGUUCGGAUUGGAGUCUGCAACCCGACUCCAUGAAGCUGGAUUCGCUAGUAAUCGCGCAUCAGCCACGGCGCGGUGAAUACGUUCCCGGGCCUUGUACACACCGCCCGUCAAGCCAUGGAAGCCGGGGGUGCCUGAAGUGCGCUGCCGCGAGGAGCGCCCUAGGGUAAAACCGGUGACUGGGGCUAAGUCGUAACAAGGUAAC
rnacentral:rRNA from 1 species